rnacentral:lncRNA from 1 species
AAAAGAUGGGUUUUCGGGCCAAAAAUGGUGAACCGGUCAAGACACUAGCCAACUAACUCAACCGACUAGGUUACUGAUGGAUCAGUUAUACCUUCUCAGUUGAGGUUCGAUCGAAAUAUGCAAAAAUCUUCUCUCUCUUUUAGUAGCCUUGCAUUCCCAGUCGAAGGCUAUGCCUUCCCGGUCGAGGUCCGGUGAAGGGCUGGUCGAGGCCUAACGAUCACCUGCCACACAUUUAUUGCCCAACGGCUAGUCAACCGAUUGACCCC